UACAUGGGGUGCAAACGUUGCUCGGAAUUAUUGGGCGUAAAGCGCGCGUAGGCGGCUACUUAAGUCGGAUGUGAAAGCCCUUGGCUCAACUGAGGAAGUGCACCCGAAACUGAGUGGCUAGAGUACGAAAGAGGGUCGCGGAAUUCCCGGUGUAGAGGUGAAAUUCGUAGAUAUCGGGAGGAACACCGGUGGCGAAGGCGGCGACCUGGGUCGAUACUGACGCUGAUGCGCGAAAGCGUGGGGAGCAAACAGG
rnacentral:rRNA from 1 species